ACGGGAGGCAGCAGUAGGGAGUUUUCGGCAAUGGGGGAAACCCUGACCGAGCAACGCCGCGUGAACGAUGAAGGUCUUCGGAUUGUAAAGUUCUGUUAUAAGGGAAGAAUGAUAGCCUGAGGAAAUGCAGGUUGUUUGACGGUACCUUAUUAGAAAGCCACGGCUAACUACGUGCCAGCAGCCGCGGUAAUACGUAGGUGGCGAGCGUUAUCCGGAAUUAUUGGGCGUAAAGAGUGAGCAGGCGGCAUGAUAAGUUUGAAGUGAAAGCGUGGGGCUUAACCCCAUACAGCUCCAAAAACUGUCAAGCUAGAGUGCGAGAGAGGUAAACGGAAUUCCAUGUGUAGCGGUGAAAUGCGUAGAUAUAUGGAGGAACACCAGUGGCGAAGGCGGUUUACUAGCUCGAUACUGACGCUCAGUCACGAAAGCGUGGGGAGCAAAUAGGAUUAGAUACCCUGGUA
rnacentral:rRNA from 1 species